UUUAGAACCACUGAUUAGCUGCUGAAGCAGCAGGGUCGACUUCAAAGGAGCCAUUUUACGGCCUCUGACUGAAGGCCGGGAGAAAAAGAGUCACGUGCCUGUGCGGAGUGAAAGAGAUCUUUGGUUUUGCCUUUGCUGACUGCUGAUCUGAUCGUCUCAAGUCUGGUGACCUGCUGCAGAAAACCCUCUCCCUCUAUCAUUAUCAAGCAAUUCUGUCUAUCCUAUCACUCUCCCAACUCUAUCUAAUUUGACAGCCAUUCUAUCUUGUAUCAAUCUAUCCCAACUGCUCUAUCUAAUUUGACAGCCAUUCUAUCUUGUAUCAAUCUAUCCCAACUGCUCUAUCUAAUUUGACAGCCAUUCUAUCUUGUAUCAAUCUAUCCCAAGCACUCUAUCUCGUUUUCAGAAAUCCCAGUUUUCAGAAAUCCCAGUUUUCAGAAAUCCCAGUCUUCAGAAAUCCCAGUCUUCAGAAAUCCCAGUUUUCAGAAAUCCCAGUUUUGAAAAAUCCAAGUUUUUGAAAAUCCAAGUUUUGAAAAAUCCAAGUUUUGAAAAAUCCAAGUUUUGGCAAUUGAAGUUACCAGAACUUUGUCAAUCUGUAUUCAGAAUUCUGAGAGAUCUCUGCUCUCACUGCUCCUCCUUUCCUGUCAUUAAACUCUCUCUCCAUUCAUUUUGCUGGAAAAUAACAAUUAGAAAGUUGAAUAUACAGUAGUAGAAUUGCAGUACAGUAGAACUUAUAGUAGAAACUACUUAUACAGCCCUACAUUUGUAGUUUUAACUUGGCAUUACACUUUGAAAUAAACACUGAUAGUUUGGCUUACAAGUGCAAUUUGAUAAAUUAUAUAAACUUAUAUACACACUUUUUUGAGAUAUAUUUGUAGUAAGAUAAUCUGGUUAUUUUGUAAUUCAGACUGUUAUAUUCACAUAAAUAUUAAAUUUGAUUCAAAUACAUUUUUCAAGUCUGUUUCAUUGGUUAUAACAUUUGACUACAAGUUUAUACUAGUAUUAUUUAAGGACAAACCCUUUUU
ensembl:lncRNA